GACGAACGCUGGCGGCGUGCUUAACACAUGCAAGUCGAACGGAAAGGCCCUGCUUUUGUGGGUUGCUCAAGUGGCAAACGGGUGAGUAACACGUGAGUAACCUGCCCUUGACUUUGGGAUAACUUCAGGAACCUGGGGCUAAUACCGGAUAGGGGCUCCUGCUGCAUGGUGGGGGUUGGAAAGUUUCGGCGGUUGGGGAUGGACUCGCGGCUUAUCAGCUUGUUGGUGGGGUAGUGGCUUACCAAGGCUUUGACGGGUAGCCGGCCUGAGAGGGUGACCGGCCACAUUGGGACUGAGAUACGGCCCAGACUCCUACGGGAGGCAGCAGUGGGGAAUAUUGCACAAUGGGCGGAAGCCUGAUGCAGCAACGCCGCGUGCGGGAUGACGGCCUUCGGGUUGUAAACCGCUUUCGCCUGUGACGAAGCGUGAGUGACGGUAAUGGGUAAAGAAGCACCGGCUAACUACGUG
rnacentral:rRNA from 1 species